UACGUAGGGUGCGAGCGUUGUCCGGAAUUAUUGGGCGUAAAGAGCUCGUAGGCGGUCUGUCGCGUCGAUCGUGAAAACUUGGGGCUUAACCCUGAGCUUGCGGUCGAUACGGGCAGACUGGAGUACUGCAGGGGAGACUGGAAUUCCUGGUGUAGCGGUGAAAUGCGCAGAUAUCAGGAGGAACACCGAUGGCGAAGGCAGGUCUCUGGGCAUUAACUGACGCUGAGGAGCGAAAGCAUGGGGAGCGAACAGG
rnacentral:rRNA from 1 species